ACGCUAGCUACAGGCUUAACACAUGCAAGUCGAGGGGCAGCAUGGUCUUAGCUUGCUAAGGCCGAUGGCGACCGGCGCACGGGUGAGUAACACGUAUCCAACCUGCCGUCUACUCUUGGACAGCCUUCUGAAAGGAAGAUUAAUACAAGAUGGCAUCAUGAGUUCACAUGUUCACAUGAUUAAAGGUAUUCCGGUAGACGAUGGGGAUGCGUUCCAUUAGAUAGUAGGCGGGGUAACGGCCCACCUAGUCUUCGAUGGAUAGGGGUUCUGAGAGGAAGGUCCCCCACAUUGGAACUGAGACACGGUCCAAACUCCUACGGGAGGCAGCAGUGAGGAAUAUUGGUCAAUGGGCGCAGGCCUGAACCAGCCAAGUAGCGUGAAGGAUGACUGCCCUAUGGGUUGUAAACUUCUUUUAUAAAGGAAUAAAGUCGGGUAUGUAUACCCGUUUGCAUGUACUUUAUGAAUAAGGAUCGGCUAACUCCGUGCCAGCAGCCGCGGUAAUACGGAGGAUCCGAGCGUUAUCCGGAUUUAUUGGGUUUAAAGGGAGCGUAGAUGGAUGUUUAAGUCAGUUGUGAAAGUUUGCGGCUCAACCGUAAAAUUGCAGUUGAUACUGGAUAUCUUGAGUGCAGUUGAGGCAGGCGGAAUUCGUGGUGUAGCGGUGAAAUGCUUAGAUAUCACGAAGAGCUCCGAUUGCGAAGGCAGCCUGCUAAGCUGCAACUGACAUUGAGGCUCGAAAGUGUGGGUAUCAAACAGGAUUAGAUACCCUGGUAGUCCACACGGUAAACGAUGAAUACUCGCUGUUUGCGAUAUACAGCAAGCGGCCAAGCGAAAGCGUUAAGUAUUCCACCUGGGGAGUACGCCGGCACGGUGAAACUCAAAGGAAUUGACGGGGGCCCGCACAAGCGGAGGA
rnacentral:rRNA from 1 species